rnacentral:hammerhead_ribozyme from 1 species
AUUCAGUCGACGAGUCCCAAACAGGACGAAACGCGCGUCCUGGAU